rnacentral:lncRNA from 1 species
GUCACGUAUCUCUCAACUCUUCCCUUUUUUUCUCUCCUGAUACCCCCGCCGGCAUUUUCUUCCACCAGCUUUUACUGAACUUUUUGGCACUGCUUUGGAUUGGAGUCAAUUGCAGUCCACGCAGCUGGCUGCAGAGAAAUCUACCCAGCAAGGAAAAGAGGCGCACACGAGUUUGCAGAAGUGUCUCUGCAUUUCUGUUUGAUCCGAAAUGGACUCACAUCCUGUAUGGUGGAUGGACUGUAUAUUGAUGAUUCCAUUCUUUGCGCAGUUUAGACAUCUCUGUUGGGAUUUUUUGUUUAUUUUUUAAAUUUUAUUUUAAAAGGCACAAACUAUAGAUAUUAGUUGAAUGUUGAGGCUUUAACUUUUUUGGUGUCUUUCUACAACUGUGUUCUGUGACUCAAUUGUAUCGUGUUAAUAUCAGUACAGCCCGUCUCCUCUACGUGACUGUAUAAUGUUUUUCUCUUCUUGUAGUCUCUAUGGUGUGUCUUUAUUGAAUAAUAAGGUUCUCACGGGUUCAACUCCUUUGUGUUUAGAGAGACCACGGUUCAGCCAAUGGUAUAUAUUUUUGUUAUCAGGUGCAUGUCUGUCUGAUUUCUUUUUUCUUCUUGUUGGACUAUGUUUGUGAACAUAAACGUCAUAAGUUAUGUUUCAGAUUUUCAAAUUUAUUUAUAUGUGUUAUAAUGAAUGCUUCUAUUUAAAAGGGAAAUAUUUCUACAUGUGCAUAUAGUUUUCCAAGAGUGUACCAUUAACUUGAUUGUUGAUAAUAAAAACAAAAAGCAAGUCUAGCAAUUGAACUAUUCUGACUUUUUCAUGAUUCAUUUUUGGUUGUUUUUAAUUAAUUAAAAAUUAUAUUAUAAUGAUAAGGGAGGGCAGAUGAAAC